GGUUUAAUAGUCAAUAUAAUGAUUUUAGAUUGCAAAUCUGAAGUAGAGUAGUUUUUUAAACCU
rnacentral:tRNA from 1 species